GAGUUUGUACCAGUUUGCUGGAGGCAAAUGAGAACCAGAACUCACAGAACACCUUGGGCAGAUUUAGAAUAUUUUAAAUAGCUUGUGACCUACACUCCUGAAUGAAGAGAAGCAGAUUUUAAGAUGUCUGUCUGUCAGACAUGUUAACACAAAUGUGGCUGUUUAUAGACAAACUGCUAAUGAGAUUUUCCUUCAGUGUAGAGGUUCAACCAAAAACACAUUAACUCACAGCCACAUGGAAUUAUGUUAAACAAUAACUGUAACAGAGCAGACUUCUGUUCUCUCACUCUCUCCUCCUCAGGUUGUAUUUGUGCUAUUCUACACCCACACUCAACAACAAAGACUGCAUUGUUGCUCUUAUCAGACUCUGUGGGAGUCAGUUUGCGAUGCUAAUGGAACUUAGCUCCAUAUUGUGUUCUGUAAAACAUGUUCCCUGAGACAUGGGCAAUGGAAUGAAUGCUUCUAUCAGAGCUCUAAUGACCUAACAUUCCUAAAUAUUUUAGGGUGGAUAUCUAUGUCUGCUAUAUACUUUGCAUUCUUUUAAGUCAUUACAUAACCUGAGUGCUAACCUGUCAAAUCUCGACCUCAAGGCUGACUGUGAGUGAAGUGAGCCUUUGUUAACCUCUAAUAAGCUCUAUUACACAUACCAAUUAUGAUAUCAAUUAUUUUAGUUAACUUAUUUAUUUAAUCAAUUAAUCGUUCGAAAGAAAAUCAAUUGGCAGAUAUUUUGAUAAAUGUUUAGGUCAUUUUUUAAACAAAAACAGCAAAGAUUUGAUGGUUUCCAGGUUCUCAAAUGUGAUAAUUUGCUGCUUUUCUGGGUCUAACAUGACAGCAAAUUGAAUUCUGGGAGGAUUUAGACUGUAAACAAGACAUUUAAUGAUGUCAUCUUUUAUACUGUUUUUGAUUAAUUUAGGAUUAAUUGAGACAGUAAUCAUUAGUUGCAGCCCUCGUGCAAUGUCCACUAUAUGUCUAACUAAUUACAGUAGUACUAUAGUAGUCGUGGCUCAGUGACAGCAGCAGUUCAGACAAAUAUGAAAGGGAACUAAAGAGGCUAAAACACAAAUGUUUUUAUUUAUUUUCAAUAAUAUAAAAAGUAUUUUUCAGGCAUUUUCUGCUCUCAUUUGAAGUUUCAGAUCGAGAAGUUUUGUUCUUUGUCCAAACUGUCCUUUGCUACUGUUUUGGCCGUGUCUCAGUAGGACUCAAGUGGUUAAACAAAAAAUGACUACAGCUGCCAAAAAAAAUUCUGGCUGAAUCUCUCGUUCAUUUUUGCCCUGAGGUUCCUCUGUGCAUUCUUGAGCCACGGCUCUGGUCUAAAUCCUUGUGGGAAUAUGUUGGUGAACUGACAACUGAGGAAACAAACAUGACCAGUACAGCUGAUGUGUGCGGAUGUGAAUACUGAAUAUUGGCAUCGGACCAAACAGACUCCCUGUCAUGUUGUUAAGGCCACUCCCAGUAAACGUUGGGUAGCUGUAUUCAAAGGAACUGCAGGAAAAAACAUGUUUUCAUGUUCUGGCAUGAGCGUGUCAUUGGCAAAAAUAUGGAACGUAGAUAAUUACGUUAUUUAUUACGAAUCACUGCUCAAGGGAAGGGUGAUAUGAUGAUAUUCCAGUCAACCAAAUUGCCAUUAAUUUGACAGCUGUAUAGCAACAUUUUAAUAUGAUUUUUGCCUAAAUGCAAUUUAGGCAAAAAUCCUUGAUUUUAAAUUACUGGAUUAGCCAAAAAAAACAGACUUCCAGUCAGUGUAUUUUUUUCACUUACAGCUUUUCAAUUGAAUUUUCUAAAAAUGGAGUACCAUUCAAGUCUUUUCAAGGAAAUCACAGGUUGUAAAAUUCAUCCCUGCUGCCAGUGUGAAACCUUUUUCCUUAGAGGUCUGUUGAAUACUUUCCUUAAAUGUAAGACCAGGGCUUAAGGUUUAAAAGAAAACUCCAAAGUUGUAGAACAAACACAUUUGUCAUGACUGAGGCUUUAUACAAUGGGAGAAUCUGUGUGUUUUUGCAUUUGUAGAUAUCAUCAGAGCCUAAAGCUGCAGUUGAGAACAUGUUCCUGUGUAAGAGUAUCAGCCCAAUCUCUUUAGUUUUAAUCAAAAGAGGAAAGCAGAUGUUAAACAGCUGGAUGGCAUUAAGUAUGAGUGAUCGGGACAGGCACACACCCAGACAUUUUCAGCAUUAAGUGCAGAACAUUCACCAUCUUAACACACAAGCAUGAGGACACAGCACAACAAUGCCACACUGUAGUACAUUUUACAUAUACUGUAGAUAUAUUUUAUUCUACAAGUAGAACUCCUUCCUGUCUUUCUUUUGCCCAUGAAUAUGCACAUUUUAACUGUAAUCCAACCGCUCUCAUGUCCAUAUGCAUUUUAUCUUAAAUUCAAAGGUUAAAUCACUGUCUCUAGUUAAGAGCCCAAACAUCCUUCUCCAUACCACUUUUACAAAAUUAAAAUAAUUUUUAAACACACCACAACGCAGAUGAUGGAUAAUUAUGUUUAGCAUUUGGUUUUCAUUUUGGGAGAACAACAACAUCCUUAUGUUUUAAACAGAAAUAAUCUGACUAAAUCUUCAGUGAGGUUUCCAUUAUAUGGUCACUAUUAUGUGGCGUUACAUGUUGUAUUGAUGGACAAUCUAAUCUUGAAGAGGGAUAAUUAAAACAAAACACAAUGGUGCAUGACUUUGCUUGAGUUUACUCUGGUCUGAUGACAUACAUUUACAUUUUGUUAUACUCUAAUACAUAAUACUACUAAUAAACAGAAUCAGAGAGUAACUAUGUGAUAUCAUGACAAUGUUGAGUAGGUUUUACUUCCUGCGUCUUCAUCAGGGAGAAAAUUGAACCAGCCAAACUAGUUUGUUGUGUGUGUCAGUGAGAUCAUGAUAAGAAAAUACAUUGGGCUGAGGCAGGUAGGGCACUACCUGACUACAGACACAAACACACACACACACACACACACACACGCGCGGUGUGAACAAUUUAGGGUGUUGGUCGUUCCAGUAACAGUGUAUUGGGUGUGGCUGCACGUUGAAAAUGCACACAGUGGGCUUGGCUGUAGUCUUCCUUUAUAAAAUCUGUCAGGAUUAUCUGCAUUAGUGUUUGUUUGAAAUUUGCAUGCCUGCAUGUUUACAUGUUGAAAAACUUAAUGCAUAGGCAGGUAUCUGGCUUCUGAGACCUGUCAGAACACAAUAAACACAUAAGCAAAUAUAUUUGUAGAGGCAUGUUUCCUAAAGUAGAUUAUUUUACACAGUAAAAUCUUCGCUUUAUACAGCAGCAUCUACCCCACUGAAACACAUUUUAUCUCACCUUUUUUGUCUCAUAUGAUGAUGUGUACAAGGAGUGCAGUACACUUAAAAUCUG